rnacentral:rRNA from 1 species
GAUACACGCCGGUCGCGUGCUUCACACAUGCAAGUUGAACGAAGUUUUUCCUUCGGGCGAAUCUUAGUGGCGGACGGGUGAGUAACGCGUGGGUAACCUGCCCUGUACAGGGGGACAACAGCUGUAAACGGCUGCUAAUACCGCAUAAGCCCUUAGCACUGCAUGGUGCAUAGGGAAAAGGAGCAAUCCGGUACAGGAUGGACCAGCGUCUGAUUAGCCAGUUGGCAGGGUAACGGCCUACCAAAGCGACGAUCAGUAGCCGAUCUGAGAGGAUGUACGGCCACAUGGGGACUGAGACACGGCCCAGACUCCUACGGGAGGCAGCAGUGGGGAAUAUUGCACAAUGGAGGAAACUCUGAUGCAGCGACGCCGCGUGAGUGAAGAAGUAUUUCGGUAUGUAAAGCUCUAUCAGCAGGGAAGAAAAUGACGGGACCGGACUAAGAAGCGCCGGCUAAAUACGUG